CAAAGAAUAGUUUAAUAAAAUAAUAAUUUUGGAGAUUAUAGAUGAGAAUGAUUUCUUUUCUUUGA
rnacentral:tRNA from 1 species